rnacentral:rRNA from 1 species
UACAGAGGGGCAAGCGUUGUUCGGAAUUACUGGGCGUAAAGGGCGCGUAGGCGGCCUGCUAAGUCGAACGUGAAAUCCCUGGGCUCAACCCAGGAACUGCGUCCGAUACUGGUUGGCUUGAAUCCGGGAGAGGGACGUGGAAUUCCAGGUGUAGCGGUGAAAUGCGUAGAUAUCUGGAGGAACACCGGUGGCGAAGGCGACGUCCUGGACCGGCAUUGACG